UGAGGAAUAUUGGUCAAUGGGCGCAAGCCUGAACCAGCCAUGCCGCGUGCAGGAUGACGGUCCUAUGGAUUGUAAACUGCUUUUGUACAGGAAGAAACACUCGGACGUGUCCGAGCUUGACGGUACUGUAAGAAUAAGGAUCGGCUAACUCC
rnacentral:rRNA from 1 species